AUUACAGACUUCUUAAUUCUAUAAAACCCUACCAAUUGAAAUUUCAAUCACAUAACUCAACUAAUUAAUCUCCGACAUAUUAAAGUUCAAGUUUUUGUUCCAUACCAAUUUAUCUUCAACGAACAUCUCCCACAGGAAAUCCUUUAAUUCAUAUUGUUUCAUACCAAUUUAUCUUCGAAUUCCAAAUCCUUUUUACUUCUAAAUCCUUCUCUAAUUUCUUCUAAUCCUUCUAACAUGUAGCUGAUCAAGAAAGGCAUUGUUGUUUCCAUCAUAAUUAGAGCUCAAGAUUUAAGCAACAAAAUUUGUGCUUCUACAACUCAAGGUAUAUAGAAUUUAGUUUUUAGUGGCUUCUUUGGUUGAUUUUAUUGUGGUAAAGUUAUGUAUGUUUCUCAAAUUAUAAAUUGCUAAUAUUGGGAUUUGGUCUAUUUGAUACAUAUAUGAUCUUUAGAAGCCUGCAAUAUGGGUUUGUUGAUUACACCAUACACAAAUGAUGGAAUACAAGGAUAUUAGCAUCAAACCUUUGACAUAAGUUUUUUUGUGUCCUUAAAAGGUUUGUGCUUAGGAGCAAGUUGUCAAUAGUUUCCAGUUAGUAUCAUGUCUAUUGUUAUGUGUCGGUUUCAGUUACUUGAGAGUUUUUGUUAGACAAUAUUUUUCAUGCAUAUAUUUAUCAUUAGUUGUCUACUAAAUAGAGAUGGAGUCCCACAAUCAUUGUAUUUAAUUGGGAAAUAGAUGCGGGCUCUGUUUGGGAGCCGUAUACAUUCUCGGCCAUAAAGUCAUAAGGUGCAUAUAGGGAACAAUGUAACAAACCGAUAUUUGUUUAGAAAAUAGACCAAUUGGUGUAUAAGGUUAAUAUCAAAUAUGACCUUACUGCUACCGGCACAUUGCUUGAAAGCUUAGAGAACAAUGACAGAAAGACUACAUUAAAUAAAGGUAUUCUCUUCAUUUGGGUGAAGCUGAUGGCAUAAAAAAGAAAUGGUAAGCAUAAAACUGAGCUUUUAGUGAAAACUGGGAGUAAACCAGUUUAUACACAAAGGGUUACUAUGUUGGAGAUUAGUCAAUAUUUGGCUAUUAUCUUUGGCUUAAUUUUGAUUCAGAAACUGCAAGUUUCGAGCAUGUCAUGUCUAUGAUUCUUAUGUUUAAUGAGAAGGUAUAUAUAUAUUUCCCUCUUAUCAUAGGAUAAGUAGUUCCCUCUUAGUCUCAUGUCCAUUGUUAUGUGUCAAUUUUAAUUACAAAAGCGUAAAAGGAGUGUUAAUAUCUUAAGAAACAUUUGAAUAAGAACAAUGUGCAUUAUUUAGGUCGAGGAACAAUUAGAUAACUAUGAUUUCAUUUCCAUAAGACUGAAGGAUCCACUCAUCCACACAUGCUUGAAUUGUUUAUUUUUAGAUUAGUAUGCUUACACAGGUUUGAUCAUAACUAUAUGGCCAAAUUAACCUAUGAUAAUUCAAGUUUUGUACAUUAAAUUGAUCUAUUCAAGGUAUAAAUAUGCAUGCAACCCCUUCUAUCAAUUCAAAAUUUUGAGUGUGUGCUUCUAUUUUGCAGGAUAUAGAUCGACCCUUUUUAAAGAAUGUGAAUCAUCAAUCUACGUAAUACAUCACUCACCAAGAUUUGUUCUCACGUACUCUAAUCGUUGAGUCUCUAUAGAUUUACCUCUUUUUUUUGUAUUUUUAGAUACUGUGUAUGUGGAUGGAAAAGUACUAUUUUUUGAGAUCCUCUUUACGAGCCAGUGCAUGAAAUUUAAUUGGUUUAUUAAGAUGUUUGAUUAGUACUAAUUUAAAUUUAAUUGUGGGCAAACAAUACUGCGAUAGUUCUAGAACCGACAUGUUAUGAAAAUACAUAUAUAACUCACUUAUAUAUAGAUCAUAAUAAUAUUGAUGCAUAUGAUGAUCUUUGUAGGUUAUAAUAUACUGUGUGUACACAACACAGUUAACUUAGGAAAUACAAAGGCACCCACAAAUAACAUAUCAGUAACAUAAGUCUCCUCUUUACUAGGUUGGCUUACCAUAUCUAUGGUUCUCGAAUGUGGUAGAGUUGUUUAAUCUAAAGUAGUAUCUGCUUACAUCAAGUUAUUAAAUUGAUUUUGAGCUAGUGGUAGUAUCUAAACUCAUAAGUCCCAUUACAGAAUUUCAAUUCAAGUUUCUGCUUGCUUGACAUGGUAAUGACAAUAUUUGCUUCAGACUAACAAUGUUCUUGCUUGACAUGGUAAUGUUUUUCUGUAGGCAUUCUGAAAUUUAUCUUGACUCUUGUUGAAUUAAUUUUGAUGAAUUUUGUUCGUAAUGUUUCUGAUUUUGUUAUUAUAUACUGUUUGUAUCUCUUUCAAUUAUUUUAUUGUGUUUGUUUAUUUAAUGGAUUCAACCUUUUUGUUGAAUUGAUUUCUUUAACAUGACACUGCAUGCUACUGAAUACACACUACACCAUACUUGAACAAUUGUUUAUAAACACAUAGCAUGUUUAAUUUAAUGGUUAUCAAUCAUAGCUUUAGGAAGGAAAAGCCGCAAUAGAACUACACAUACAGAUGAGUACUUACCAUGGCAAUGCUUUAGACUUGAGAGAUAAGCAAGUAUGGUUUGUUGGUAUCACCUAUAUGCUAACCAAGUACUAUCAUUUCUUCUUGAUUUUUUCUUUAUACCUAGAAUGUGAAUUCCUCUCAGGGUAUGCUUUUCAUUUUACUAAACCCAAGGGAAUUAUUAAAAAAACAUAGAUUUUUUGGUUAGAGGUGCUUAUUAAAAUAAAUGAGCUGGCAGCUUGCUAACAGGUGUGCUCUAUGUAAUCAACAUGAGAACACUGCCCAUCUGUUCCUGUGGUGCUCAAAGUCCAAGGGGAUAUGGCAGAGUCUGACUGAGGGAUGUACUGAAGCUUCCCAGUUAAUUUAUAACCAGCAAUGCAUCAUGUCAGUUUUGAAAUUAUGGCCAAAGUUACAACUAACAGGUAUGGGCACUUAUCUUGGAAAUUGCUGCCAUAUGGGAUGAAAUGUUGUAUAUGGUUAAUGCGGAACACAACUAUUUUCGAAGAUGCAAGGCUCUCUGUCGAGGCAGCUAUCACAAGAAUUAAGGCAGUGUUAUAGGCGUGGAUGGCUAUACAACAGGAUAGUUCAAAAGAGCAAAGUAAACAUCGCUUUUCUGAGCUCAUGCAAACUUGGCCUGCAACAUUGGAACUAUCCCAGUAAAGACUUGGUACAGCUGCUACUCAAUAUGCCCUGUACUUAGUUGAGUUUACUCUUCAUUUUGUGGGGUAGUACUGGGACACUGGGUGUAUUAUGUAUGUAUUAAUGGAGAUAUGUCUCUAUGGGUAGGCCUAACCUGAGAAUACUUUCAGUAUAAUGCUUAGGCAUGUAAACUAUCUCUUACUAAUAGAACUCAGUUACUCAAAGCAACUUCAUAUUUGCAUAUUAUGAUAUUAUCCAGGUUUUAGUCUCUUAAUUUUAAA
rnacentral:lncRNA from 1 species